UGUUCCUCGUGGUCUUGUUCACUUCCAACUAAAUUUUGGAGAGUAUUUACUGCUUUCAACAGUCACUUCCCAGGAUCUUUGGUCGCCCCAACAAAUCAUUUUGCUUCUGCACCUCCAAUUCCCAAUAAAGAACAAAGACCUCUAACAGGGGGAAGAUACUGUCACAACCACAAAAUCCAAGUUUGGUUCAUAAGCAUUCUUGAAAUUCCUCCCAAGGCUUGUGCGAAAACACUUGUUUCCCAACUUUUCCGUGUCAAAGGCCAUCUCUUCUGAUUAUUAUUUAUUGUGGUUAUUUUUAUAUAUGCUCUAUCAGGGUGGUUCGUUCGUACCCUUUCCUCAUUCCUUGAUGUAUGUAGUAAUACAUGAUUUCACAUAACUAAAAUACUGAGAUCAGUGAUUCUUGAUUUCAGCACCAAG
rnacentral:misc_RNA from 1 species